AUUGGACGCUGGCGGCAGGCUUAACACAUGCAAGUCGAGCGGUAACAGAGAGAAGCUUGCUUCUCUGCUGACGAGCGGCGGACGGGUGAGUAAUGCCUAGGAAUCUGCCUAGUAGUGGGGGAUAACUUGCCGAAAGGUAAGCUAAUACCGCAUACGUCCUACGGGAGAAAGGAGGGGACCUUCGGGCCUUUCGCUAUUAGAUGAGCCUAGGUCGGAUUAGUUAGUUGGUGAGGUAAUGACUCACCAAGACCGCGAUCCGUAACUGGUCUGAGAGGAUGAUCAGUCACACUGGAACUGAGACACGGUCCAGACUCCUACGGGAGGCAGCAGUGGGGAAUACUGGACAAUGGGGGGAACCCUGAUCCAGCCAUGCCGCGUGUGUGAAGAAGGUCUUAGGAUUGUAAAGCACUUUAAGUUGGGAGGAAGAGCAGUUAACUAAUAUUUGACUGUUUUGACGUUACCGACAGAAUAAGCACCGGCUAACUUCGUGCCAGCCGCCGCCGUAA
rnacentral:rRNA from 1 species